GGAUUAGUGGCGAACGGGUGAGUAACACGUGGGCAAUCUGCCCUGCACUCUGGGACAAGCCCUGGAAACGGGGUCUAAUACCGGAUAUUGACCUUCACGGGCAUCUGUGAGGUUCGAAAGCUCCGGCGGUGCAGGAUGAGCCCGCGGCCUAUCAGCUUGUUGGUGAGGUAAUGGCUCACCAAGGCGACGACGGGUAGCCGGCCUGAGAGGGCGACCGGCCACACUGGGACUGAGACACGGCCCAGACUCCUACGGGAGGCAGCAGUGGGGAAUAUUGCACAAUGGGCGAAAGCCUGAUGCAGCGACGCCGCGUGAGGGAUGACGGCCUUCGGGUUGUAAACCUCUUUCAGCAGGGAAGAAGCGAAAGUGACGGUACCUGCAGAAGAAGCGCCGGCUAACUACGUGCCAGCAGCCGCGGUAAUACGUAGGGCGCAAGCGUUGUCCGGAAUUAUUGGGCGUAAAGAGCUCGUAGGCGGCUUGUCACGUCGGUUGUGAAAGCCCGGGGCUUAACCCCGGGUCUGCAGUCGAUACGGGCAGGCUAGAGUUCGGUAGGGGAGAUCGGAAUUCCUGGUGUAGCGGUGAAAUGCGCAGAUAUCAGGAGGAACACCGGUGGCGAAGGCGGAUCUCUGGGCCGAUACUGACGCUGAGGAG
rnacentral:rRNA from 1 species